CCGAGCGGCGGACGGCUGAGUAACGCGUGGGAACAUACCCUAAAGUGAGGGAUAACUACUCGAAAGAGUGGCUAAUACCGCAUAUGAUCUUCGGAUUAAAGCAUUUAUGCGCUUUAGGAAUGGCCUGCGUACGAUUAGAUAGUUGGUGAGGUAAAGGCUCACCAAGUCGACGAUCGUUAGAUGGUUUGAGAGGAUGAUCAUCCAGACUGGGACUGAGACACGGCCCAGACUCCUACGGGAGGCAGCAG
rnacentral:rRNA from 1 species